rnacentral:rRNA from 1 species
UACGUAGGGGCAAGCGUUGUCCGGAUUUAUUGGGCGUAAAGAGCGUGUAGGCGGUCAGGUAGGUCGGUUGUGAAAACUGGAGGCUCAACCUUCAGAGGUCGACCGAAACCCCCUGGCUAGAGUCCGGGAGAGGAGAGUGGAAUUCCUGGUGUAGCGGUGAAAUGCGCAGAUAUCAGGAAGAACACCCGUGGCGAAAGCGGCUCUCUGGAACGGUACUGACGCUGAGACGCGAAAGCGUGGGGAGCGAACAGG